UAGUAAUGUUGGCUUAUUAUUUCCCUAUU
rnacentral:piRNA from 1 species